ACGAACGCUGGCGGCGUGCUUAACACCUGCAAGUCGCACGGAAAGGCCCUGCUUGCAGGGUCCUCGAGUGGCGAACGGGUGAGUAACACGUGGGUGAUCUGCCCUGCACUUCGGGAUAAGCCUGGGAAACUGGGUCUAAUACCGGAUAGGAGCCAUUUUUAGUGUGAUGGUUGGAAAGUUUUUUCGGUGUAGGAUGAGCUCGCGGCCUAUCAGCUUGUUGGUGGGGUAAUGGCCUACCAAGGCGGCGACGGGUAGCCGGCCUGAGAGGGUGGACGGCCACAUUGGGACUGAGAUACGGCCCAGACUCCUACGGGAGGCAGCAGUGGGGAAUAUUGCACAAUGGGCGCAAGCCUGAUGCAGCGACGCCGCGUGGGGGAUGACGGCCUUCGGGUUGUAAACGCCUUUCGCUAGGGACGAAGCUUUUUGUGACGGUACCUAGAGAAGAAGCACCGGCUAACUACGUG
rnacentral:rRNA from 1 species